UCCGGGAAACCGGGGCUAAUACCGGAUGCUUGUUUGAACCGCAUGGUUCAAACAUAAAAGGUGGCUUCGGCUACCACUUACAGAUGGACCCGCGGCGCAUUAGCUAGUUGGUGAGGUAAUGGCUCACCAAGGCAACGAUGCGUAGCCGACCUGAGAGGGUGAUCGGCCACACUGGGACUGAGACACGGCCCAGACUCCUACGGGAGGCAGCAGUAGGGAAUCUUCCGCAAUGGACGAAAGUCUGACGGAGCAACGCCGCGUGAGUGAUGAAGGUUUUCGGAUCGUAAAGCUCUGUUGUUAGGGAAGAACAAGUACCGUUCGAAUAGGGCGGUACCUUGACGGUACCUAACCAGAAAGCCACGGCUAACUACGUGCCAGCAGCCGCGGUAAUACGUAGGUGGCAAGCGUAGUCCGGAAUUAUUGGGCGUAAAGGGCUCGCAGGCGGUUCCUUAAGUCUGAUGUGAAAGCCCCCGGCUCAACCGGGGAGGGUCAUUGAAAACUGGGGAACUU
rnacentral:rRNA from 1 species